rnacentral:lncRNA from 10 species
UAGUUCUCCACUGCUUUCUUCUACCUUGGACUACUUGUCCCAAGAUGCAGUUCCACCUCCCAGAUUCCCUAGUUACUAUCUCUAAGCACUGAAGUCGGUGUUUGGAGAAAAGGACUCAGCCUAACAGAUGAGACAGAAUAUAAACAGGAAGUCUCUAAGGCAGUGUGGUGGAAGGAUAAUACCAUGAUGGAGGAAGUGCACAGUAUUAUGGGAGAACAUAGCAGUGGCAUCUGACCAAUUUUAAGGGAAUCCAGGACAGCUUUCCUGAAGCUGAAGAAAGAGUAAAAGCCAGGCUUAUCAAAGUUUUGGCUUUGUUGCAAGAGCAGGUCAAGAUUUAGCUGUUCUUCAGUGAACAAGUGUGCAGAUUGUCAAAUAUGUCAGUUCAUCAAAUAAGAAAACAUGCAGUUCUCCCACCUAUCAUUUGUAGAAGUGACAAGGAAUUUUUGGAAAGUGUGCAAAGAUACAUAAUUACAGAAACUGAAAGACUGGGCUGUAGUGAGGAAGGACCUGCUGAUGAAUAUUACAUCAUAUACCGAAAUGUUUUUGAUAAGGUAAUAGAGCAUAUCACUGCAUACAAAUCCAUUCUUACUUCAAUCAAAAAAGAAUAUGAUGCCUU